UACGUAGGGGGCAAGCGUUGUCCGGAAUCAUUGGGCGUAAAGCGCGCGUAGGCGGCCCGGUAAGUCCGUUGUGAAAGUCAAAGGCUCAACCUUUGAACGCCGAUGGAUACUGCCGGGCUAGAGUCCGGAAGAGGCGAGUGGAAUUCCUGGUGUAGCGGUGGAAUGCGUAGAGACCGGGAAGAACAUCGGUGGCGAAGGCGGCCAGCUGGGCCGUUGCUGACGCUGAGGCGCGACAGCGUGGGGAGCAAACAGG
rnacentral:rRNA from 1 species